CCCAGUGUGGUGUAGUGGUUUAAGCAUUGGACUUGGACUCUGAAGAGCAGGGUUUGAAUCCCUGCUCUGCCA
rnacentral:tRNA from 1 species